rnacentral:rRNA from 1 species
UGAACGCUAGCUACAGGCUUAACACAUGCAGCGAGGGGCAGCAGGGCAAUAGCUUGCUAUUGCUGCUGGCGACCGGCGCACGGGUGAGUAACGCGUAUCCAACCUACCCCGCGGUCAGGGACAGCCCGGCGAAAGUCGGAUUAAUACCUGAUGCAGUCAGAAGAGGGCAUCUGAUUUUGACGAAAGAUUGAUCGCCUCGGGAUGGGGAUGCGUAGGAUUAGGCAGGCGGCGGGGUAACGGCCCACCGCGCCGACGAUCCUUAGGGGUUCUGAGAGGAAGGUCCCCCCACACUGGUACUGAGACACGGACCAGACUCCUACGGGAGGCAGCAGUGAGGAAUAUUGGUCAAUGGGCGCGAGCCUGAACCAGCCAAGUAGCGUGCAGGACGACGGCCCUAUGGGUUGUAAACUGCUUUUAUGCGGGGAUAAAGUGCGGCACGUGUGCCGUUUUGUAGGUACCGCAUGAAUAAGGACCGGCUAAUUCCGUGCCAGCCGCCGC